rnacentral:rRNA from 1 species
AGUCGAACGAGCGAGAGAGAGCUUGCUUUCUCGAGCGAGUGGCGAACGGGUGAGUAGCGCGUGAGGAACCUGUCUCAAAGAGGGGGACAACAGUUGGAAACGACUGCUAAUACCGCAUAAGCCCACGGUGCCGCAUGGCACAGAGGGAAAAGGAGUAAUCCGCUUUGAGAUGGCCUCGCGUCCGAUUAGCUAGUUGGUGAGGUAACGGCCCACCAAGGCGACGAUCGGUAGCCGGACUGAGAGGUUGAACGGCCACAUUGGGACUGAGACACGGCCCAGACUCCUACGGGAGGCAGCAGUGGGGAAUAUUGCACAAUGGGGGAAACCCUGAUGCAGCGACGCCGCGUGGAGGAAGAAGGUCUUCGGAUUGUAAACUCCUGUUGUUGGGGAAGAUAAUGACGGUACCCAACAAGGAAGUGACGGCUAACUACGUGCCAGCAGCCGCGGUAAAACGUAGGUCACAAGCGUUGUCCGGAAUUACUGGGUGUAAAGGGAGCGCAGGCGGGAAGACAAGUUGGAAGUGAAAUCUAUGGGCUCAACCCAUAAACUGCUUUCAAAACUGUUUUUCUUGAGUAGUGCAGAGGUAGGCGGAAUUCCCGGUGUA